rnacentral:rRNA from 1 species
UACGUAGGGUGCGAGCGUUGUCCGGAAUUAUUGGGCGUAAAGAGCUCGUAGGCGGUGUGUCACGUCUGCCGUGAAAACCUCAGGCUUAACUUGGGGCGUGCGGUGGAUACGGGCAUCACUUGAGUUCGGUAGGGGAGACUGGAAUUCCUGGUGUAGCGGUGGAAUGCGCAGAUAUCAGGAGGAACACCGGUGGCGAAGGCGGGUCUCUGGGCCGAUACUGACGCUGAGGA